rnacentral:misc_RNA from 1 species
GAUGAAGAACGUAGUGAAAUGCGAUAAGUAAUGCGAAUUGCAGAAUUUCCGUGAGUCAUCGAAUCUUUGAACGCACAUUGCGCCCUUUGGUAUUCCGAAGGGCAUGCCUGUUCGAGCGUCAUUUCACCACUCAAGCCUGGCUUGGUGUUGGGCGACGUCCCCUUUGGGGACGCGCCUCGAAACGCUCGGCGGCGUGGCACCGGCUUUAAGCGUAGCAGAAUCUUUCGCUUUGGAAGUCGGGGCCCCGUCUGCCGGAAGACCUACUCGCAAGGUUGACCUCGGAUCAGGCAGGGAUACCCGCUGAACUUAAGCAUAUCAAUAAGCGGAGGA